rnacentral:rRNA from 1 species
GACGAACCGUGCGAACGUUGUUCGGAAUCACUGGGCUUAAAGGGCGCGUAGGCGGCGCGUCAAGUCGGGGGUGAAAGCGUUCGGCUCAACCGGACCAGGGCCCCCGAUACUGACACGCUCGAGGGAGGCAGGGGCCGACGGAACUUCCGGUGGAGCGGUGAAAUGCGUUGAUAUCGGAAGGAACGCCGGUGGCGAAAGCGGCUCUCUGGGACGGUACUGACGCUGAGACGCGAAAGCGUGGGGAGCAAACAGG